rnacentral:rRNA from 1 species
CAGCCGCCGCGGUAAUACGUAGGGUGCGAGCGUUAAUCGGAAUUACUGGGCGUAAAGCGUGCGCAGGCGGUUCGUUAAGACAGAUGUGAAAUCCCCGGGCUCAACCUGGGAAUGGCAAUGGAUACUGGCAAGCUAGAGUGUGUCAGAGGAUGGUGGAAUUCCCGGUGUAGCGGUGAAAUGCGUAGAGAUCGGGAGGAACAUCAGUGGCGAAGGCGGCCAUCUGGGACAACACUGACGCUGAGGCACGAAAGCGUGGGGAGCAAACAGGAUUAGAUACCCCCGUAGUCCCUGUCUCUUAUAC